UACGUAGGGGGCAAGCGUUGUCCGGAAUUAUUGGGCGUAAAGCGCGUGUAGGCGGCCAGAUAAGUCCGCUGUGAAAUCUCGAGGCUCAACUUCGAGCUGUCGGUGGAAACUGUCUGGCUAGAGUCCGGAAGAGGAGAAUGGAAUUCCUGGUGUAGCGGUGAAAUGCGCAGAUAUCAGGAAGAACACCCGUGGCGAAGGCGGUUCUCUGGGACGGUACUGACGCUGAGGAGCGAAAGCCAGGGAGCAAACGGG
rnacentral:rRNA from 1 species